GGGUGCGUAGCUCAGCGGUAGAGCAUUGCCUUCACACGGCAAGGGUCACAGGUUCAAUCCCUGUCGCACCCACCA
rnacentral:tRNA from 6 species